ACUACCUGGCAUCCUGAGAAUGAAUCUUCCACAUAAACAAGCACGCAGCUCAUCUCGAUUCAGUUGCUGAAGGGAAAUUUCGUAGUCAAGACCGAGCUGAGCAAACUGAACGCUACGGUACAUCAUGAAUUUCAGAACUCUGUGGAUGAUCGUCCUCGUGGUGGUGAUAGGCCUAGUCUCUGCCGACGCCCGAAGCAUCUUCAACCUGGCCCGCAGGAAGUUCCCGGGGGAGAGGCGAUUCGGCGCCACGCAUUAUCGCCUGCACGAGUUCGGCAGCCACGGUUACAGGGACUUUUCGAGAAGGGACUGAGAAGGAUCUUAGAAGACUGACCCUAUCCAACGGGUGGAAUGACAUCUUCACCGAAGGAUGUCACAGGAUCUAUGGCAGACCCUUCGAUAACAUCCUUGGUGGAGAUUUAAAAUAUAGUCUCCGACGAGCCUAAUACUCUCCGUUUUCUUUUAAGAAUACUGAUCACUAUACGUUUUCUUUAAAUGGAGAUCAAUAGCAAAAAAAAAAAAAAAAAAUGUCCAGAAGUAAUCCUACUAAAUCAUACAUACAUACGCACAAAUACGCACACACACGCGUGCACGCGUGCAUACAGACACGGAGUUGACUUAUUACUGCCAAAGAAUUCAAGCAUCAGUACUACAAAAGUAUUAUUUAUACGCUUUAAUUUGUUUUUGUUUCUCUUAUACUCUUGCUGAAUUUCGCUUAAUCUCCCUUCCAUACGAGUGCUGGUUAUCAUGAGUUAUCUUAUUUUUUUUUUUUACUUAAUUUUAACUGUUAGCUUUAGCAAUCUUGUUUUAUUUAAAGGGAAUGUAUUUUCUAUGUGCAAUAAUAAUAUUGAUUCAAAUAAUUUGCCACAAUCGCCCUGACAUGUUGUUAUGUUAUAAAAUGGUAACUUUGUUGUAGUUUAAGUUUCUGUUUUGGUAAUAUUCAAGUGCUGAUAUCACGUUGUUUUAUUUGUUUUGUUUUGUUUAAUUAAAUAAUGAAAAUAAUAAAACUAUUAGAAGAAUA